CGGGCGAGUUUUUUUUAGAGUUUUGGGAACCUGCUCAGAUUGAACGCUGGCGGCAGGCCUAACACAUGCAAGUCGAGCGGCAGCACGGGUACUUGUACCUGGUGGCGAGCGGCGGACGGGUGAGUAAUGCCUAGGAAUCUGCCUGGUAGUGGGGGAUAACGCUCGGAAACGGACGCUAAUACCGCAUACGUCCUACGGGAGAAAGCAGGGGACCUUCGGGCCUUGCGCUAUCAGAUGAGCCUAGGUCGGAUUAGCUAGUUGGUGAGGUAAUGGCUCACCAAGGCGACGAUCCGUAACUGGUCUGAGAGGAUGAUCAGUCACACUGGAACUGAGACACGGUCCAGACUCCUACGGGAGGCAGCAGUGGGGAAUAUUGGACAAUGGGCGAAAGCCUGAUCCAGCCAUGCCGCGUGUGUGAAGAAGGUCUUCGGAUUGUAAAGCACUUUAAGUUGGGAGGAAGGGCAUUUACCUAAUACGUAAGUGUUUUGACGUUACCGACAGAAUAAGCACCGGCUAACUCUGUGCCAGCAGCCGCGGUAAUACAGAGGGUGCAAGCGUUAAUCGGAAUUACUGGGCGUAAAGCGCGCGUAGGUGGUUCGUUAAGUUGGAUGUGAAAUCCCCGGGCUCAACCUGGGAACUGCAUUCAAAACUGUCGAGCUAGAGUAUGGUAGAGGGUGGUGGAAUUUCCUGUGUAGCGGUGAAAUGCGUAGAUAUAGGAAGGAACACCAGUGGCGAAGGCGACCACCUGGACUGAUACUGACACUGAGGUGCGAAAGCGUGGGGAGCAAACAGGAUUAGAUACCCUGGUAGUCCACGCCGUAAACGAUGUCAACUAGCCGUUGGGAGCCUUGAGCUCUUAGUGGCGCAGCUAACGCAUUAAGUGACCGCCUGGAGACCCCGACUGGG
rnacentral:rRNA from 1 species